AAUUAUUCAUAGUAAUUUUUUUAAAAUCGGUCAGGUCUGGAAAGAAGCAGCCGUAGUGAAGAACUACAAUGGGUAUUUUGU
rnacentral:SRP_RNA from 1 species